rnacentral:rRNA from 1 species
UACGUAGGGUGCAAGCGUUGUCCGGAAUUAUUGGGCGUAAAGAGCUCGUAGGCGGUUUGUCGCGUCUGCUGUGAAAACUCGGGGCUUAACCCCGGGCCUGCAGUGGGUACGGGCAAACUAGAGUGCGGUAGGGGAGACUGGAAUUCCUGGUGUAGCGGUGAAAUGCGCAGAUAUCAGGAGGAACACCGGUGGCGAAGGCGGGUCUCUGGGCCGUAACUGACGCUGAGGAGCGAAAGCAUGGGUAGCGAACAGG